rnacentral:rRNA from 1 species
GUCCGCAGGCGGCUAGAUAAGUCUGCUUUCAAAGAGUGGGGCUCAACCCCAUAAAGGGAGUGGAAACUGUUUAGCUAGAGUAUGGUAGGGGCAGAGGGAAUUCCCAGUGUAGCGGUGAAAUGCGUAGAUAUUGGGAAGAACACCAGUGGCGAAGGCGCUCUGCUGGACCGAGACUGACGCUGAGGGACGAAAGCUAGGGGAGCGAAAGGGAUUAGAUACCCCUGUAGUCCUAGCUGUAAACGAUGGACACUAGGUGUUGCGCGUAUCGACCCGUGCAGUGCCGUAGCUAACGCGUUAAGUGUCCCGCCUGGGGAGUACGCACGCAAGUGUGAAACUCAAAGGAAUUGACGGGGGCCCGCACAAGCGGUGGAGUAUGUGGUUUAAUUCGAUGCAACGCGAAGAACCUUACCAGGGUUUGACAUCCCUCGAAUCUCUGUGAAAGCGGAGAGUGCCUUCGGGAGCGAGGAGACAGGUGGUGCAUGGCUGUCGUCAGCUCGUGUCGUGAGAUGUUGGGUUAAGUCCCGCAACGAGCGCAACCCACGUUUUCAGUUGCCAGCAUUAAGUUGGGGACUCUGGAGAGACUGCCGGUGACAAACCGGAGGAAGGUGUGGACGACGUCAAGUCAUCAUGCCCCUUACAUCCUGGGCUACACACGUACUACAAUGGUUAGGACAAAGGGCAGCGAAGCCGCGAGGUGGAGCAAAACUCAUAAACCUAGCCUCAGUUCAGAUUGCAGGCUGCAACUCGCCUGCAUGAAGGAGGAAUCGCUAGUAAUCGCAGGUCAGCAUACUGCGGUGAAUACGUUCCCGGGCCUUGUACACACCGCCCGUCACACCAUGGGAGUUGGCCACGCCCGAAGUCGUUACCCUAAC